rnacentral:rRNA from 1 species
UACGUAGGUGGCAAGCGUUGUCCGGAAUUAUUGGGCGUAAAGCGCGCGCAGGCGGUCACUUAAGUCCAUCUUAGAAGUGCGGGGCCUAACCCCGUGAUGGGAUGGAAACUGGGAGACUGGAGUAUCGGAGAGGAAAGUGGAAUUCCUAGUGUAGCGGUGAAAUGCGUAGAUAUUAGGAAGAACACCGGUGGCGAAGGCGACUUUCUGGACGAAAACUGACGCUGAGGCGCGAAAGCGUGGGGAGCAAACAGG